rnacentral:rRNA from 1 species
GACAGAGGGCGCAAACGUUGUUCGGAAUUACUGGGCGUAAAGCGCGUGUAGGCGGCUCGGCAAGUCGGGUGUGAAAACUCGGGGCUCAACCCCGAGCCUGCAGUCGAUACGGGCAGACUAGAGUUCGGUAGGGGAGACUGGAAUUCCUGGUGUAGCGGUGAAAUGCGCAGAUAUCAGGAGGAACACCGGUGGCGAAGGCGGGUCUCUGGGCAGUAACUGACGCUGAGGAGCGAAAGCGUGGGGAGCGAACAGG